rnacentral:lncRNA from 1 species
AUUCGAACUUUUUUAUAAUAUUUUUUUUUGAAACUCUUUUUCGAAUUUUUUUUUAUUUUUUUCAAAAUUGUUUUUGAAAAACGAAAAUUAUGUUUAAAACUAUUUUUAAAAAAAAUUUUAUAUAUCUUUUAAGUAUUUAUUUAUAUAUUUAUUAGAAUCUUAUAUUUCACAUUUCAAAAACCUACCUCAUCCUUCAACUCUAAACUCUAAGUCUAGAUUAGUUAAUACUAAGGGUAUAAUUGUCUUUUAUUCUUUAUUAAAAGUGAGGCUAAAAAUGAUUAGUGUAAACAUGAAAAGUAAUACUAUAAAUGUACUAUUAUUGAUAAUUUCUCAAAAAACAACUGUUUAGAAGAACAAGCAAACUUUUUUUCGCCCAAAUCCACUACGUAUUUUAAACAUCUGGGCCGCAACCCAAAAAUAAAGACAGACCAAACAGAGUAAUUAGUUAUUGUACAAUUCUUUCGUUUUUUUCUUGUAAAAUAUUCCAUUAAUUAUUAUUAUACUCGUUAGGCUGAAAAAUCUUUCAACUUCAGAUAUUUUUGAUCUACCUUGUGAAUGGCUAUGCACGCUAGCACGUCUUUGGAGGUUGAUGUUACACGUAUAUAGCCUAUUGUCCCUUAAAGACUAACGUCUUUUUUUCUUUUUGAACAAAUUUAUGUACACCGCUGCGGAAAUAUUAGACACAGAAAAAGUAAGUGUUCUAACGUCGCAAGCUACCUCUUCAAA